UGUAGCCAGCUGGGUUAUAUGGAGGGCAAAAGAUGAAAAUGAAGAUCACACAGUGAAUCAAAUGCAAAGCUUCAAGCUUACAUGAGGUUGUAAGGUUAACAAGUCUUGGAUCUUUAGUUCGAUAGGGCUCCCACCACUCAAAAAAUUACAACUUUUUGUUGAAUAAAUUUAUUUGGGUUUUGUUGGUUUUGAAUGAUUGAUCCUAUUACCCACAUGUAAUUUUCCUUCUAUAUUAUUAAAAAUAAAAUAUAAUUUUCAUUUUUUAGUUUGUAAAACAUGUUUUUAAAUUUGAAUGGAAUUCAAAUUUGUUCAAUGACUUAAUUAAAAUUACCUAAAAUUCACCCCAAAUUUACAUUCCAAGGGUUGAUUUUAAUAAUCUUUCGUUAAGUAAGGAAGGGGUGGGGGAUUAACGAGACUGGGCGGUCGUUGGCAUAGAACUAUAGAAGCCUCCGACAUGCAGUUAUAAUGGGACGCUGACUCGGACUACUGGGGAUCCCGUUGUUAAGUAUAUGGUAUCAUUAUCAAAACCUAAUGUUUUGAGAAACUAUGCACUCGAAUCAGUUAAGCACUUGGCGGAGUUUGGCAGCUACCAUUAAAUCCAGGGAUUGAGAAAGUCGGUGUCCUUAGCCCUGGUUUGUCUUCUUAUAUAUAUGGCUGGCUCUUUCUUGGUUGAUCAGGCUCCUGCCCUCUACCCUCCUCGGAGGCUACUCUGCUUGUUCUCCAUAGAGCAUUCAACCAAAUGGUGGAUUAAUUUGAUGUAAUCAACGUUGUUCCAUCGAAUCAUUUGAUUCCGCGUUCAAAAUCCAUGAUUUUUUGGAAAUAGGUAUUAAUGACUUACGUUAUAAUUUCUGGAUUUCGAUUCAGGUUCAUGAUUUGCCCCAGUUGUUGCAAAUAGCGUUUACUUUUGUUUGUUUGAUAUGUUAUGUGCUGUAUUUUAAUUGAGAACUGCUAUUUUUUUUUCAACAAUUUUACCAAACUUUUUGUGAGUGAAAAUUAUUGGUUCUGCCUCUGCUUGUGAGCAUGAAUUUGUUGCAAGAUGGUGCUAGAUUAGCUUCCCAGUACAAGAGAAGAUGUGUAGUCACACUGUAUGAAUAUGCAAUAGAAGUGAAGUGACUGAUCCUGAAGUGGAAAUGUAGGGGUUGUUUGAUCCAUCUUGUUCUAUUAAAAGAAAAUUGUAAAUGUGAUUUUAUAACUUCUAAUCCGAUCUUCUUCAUUCAACCAUCAGUUAAAUGAUGAUUUCAAUUGACAGAUAUUAGUUUUUAAUUUUUAUGUAUAUUAAUUUUAUUAUUUUGAACUAAUAAUAAAAUUAAUAGUCUAUACAACAUGUAGCUUUGCAUCUAGAUCAAAGAAAAUAGAUGAUGAGAUUCUCUUCCAUCUCUCCAAAUGGUUAUUACACUAUUAAAUGAGUUAUCUAACCCUCUUUUUUUAUUAAAAGAUUAUUAGUUUCGUGACAAAAAUAAACCCACUGCUAAAAAAUUAAGAUAAUAUUAUAUUUAAAGUAUCAUUAAUGAGAA